CUACUACUGGAGCACAACACAGAGACACUGAUGAUGCAUCGUCGUCUUCUUCAGUUAUUAAUAAGCUCGCUCCCUACGCAAACAUCAAACAACAGCUGGAAUCGUAAGUAGAUCAACACGACGCGACGCCUCCCUUCUGAAAGCGGAGGCCUCUGCUUUCAGAAUGGACGCUCUGUAUGCAGCACGGUGAAGGCCGGCGGCUUAUCAGUCGCAGCACAUCUCGCAGAUCCAGCAGCAGCACAGCGCCGCGAUGCUGAAAUCAAAACAUCAAGUAGUAAGUUUUAAUCGGAGAGAUCAACUGCAUGUAUAACUCCAAAAGAUUUCGACUACUUAUCGUAAAGUUUUAAUUUUUUAAUCAGUUGACAGAUUACCAUCCUUCGAUGAAUCCUUUCUCUCCGCGAGAGGUCGUCUUGCCCCGGCGCCCCUUCCGCCCUCCCUGCUGCUCUGCACCUGACGCGGUCGGGUAGCCUGCAUAUAUGCGUCCAAGCAUGGCACGACGAACGAGUUCAGAACCAAUCCAGCCAGAGACAACAAGCUAGGUGCCCAAGAAACUGUAGCCUCCUGUGUUGGCCAUAGCCCAUAUAAGUGAUUCAGAAACCUGACCUGGUGGUGGAGGCGGCUGGCUGUUGCUGUUGUUCUCCAUCCUUUCUUGCUUCUGAAGACUCUAGAGCAGGAUGAUGCACAUUCUACAACUCGUAGGUAAAGGUGGCUGUCUUGGUUGGGAUCUCAACGAGACAAGCUGCCCCUUAUAUAGCCUUUGCUGCAGGGCAGUGUGUUGGUUGCUGGUGCCUUCCUUGCCGCCCUGGUCUUUCUCUUACAGAUAAGACCUGUGAC
rnacentral:lncRNA from 1 species